AGUGAACGCUGGCGGCAGGCCUAACACAUGCAAGUCGAGCGGAUGAAAGGGGCUUGCUCCUGGAUUCAGCGGCGGACGGGUGAGUAAUGCGCAGGAAUCUACCUCGUAGUGGGGGAUAACGUUUCGAAAGGAACGCUAAUACCGCAUACGUUCUGAGGAAGAAAGCAGGGGACCUUCGGGCCUUGCGCUAUGAGAUGAGCUUGCGUCCGAUUAGCUAGUUGGUGGGGUAAAGGCCUACCAAGGCGACGAUCGGUAACUGGUCUGAGAGGAUGAUCAGUCACACUGGAACUGAGAAACGGUCCCGACUCCUACGGGGGGCAGCAGUGAGGAAUAUUGGGCAAUGGACGAAAGUCUGACCCAGCAACGCCGCGUGGAGGAUGAAGGUUUUUGGAUUGUAAACUCCUUUUGUGGGGGAAGAGUGAGGACGGUACCCCAAGAAUAAGUCACGGCUAACUACGUG
rnacentral:rRNA from 1 species